UACGUAGGGUGCGAGCGUUAAUCGGAAUUACUGGGCGUAAAGCGUGCGCAGGCGGCGCGUUAAGACAGGUGUGAAAGCCCCGAGCUUAACUUGGGAAUUGCGCUUGUGACUGGCGAGCUGGAGUGUGGCAGAGGGAGGUGGAAUUCCACGUGUAGCGGUGAAAUGCGUAGAGAUGUGGAGGAACACCAAUGGCGAAGGCAGCCUUCUGGGCCAACACUGACGCUCAUGCACGAAAGCGUGGGGAGCAAACAGG
rnacentral:rRNA from 1 species